GGAAUAUUGGACAAUGGGGGCAACCCUGAUCCAGCAAUGCCGCGUGUGUGAAGAAGGCCUUCGGGUUGUAAAGCACUUUUAUCAGGAAAGAAAUCCUAUCGGUUAAUACCUGGUGGGGAUGACGGUACCUGAGGAAUAAGCACCGGCUAACUUCGUGCCAGCAGCCGCGGUAAUACGAAGGGUGCAAGCGUUAAUCGGAAUUACUGGGCGUAAAGGGUGCGUAGGCGGCCCGUUAAGUUCGAUGUGAAAGCCCCGGGCUCAACCUGGGAAUGGCAUCGAAGACUGGCAGGCUGGAGUGCGGUAGAGGGUGGUGGAAUUCCCGGUGUAGCGGUGAAAUGCGUAGAGAUCGGGAGGAACAUCUGUGGCGAAGGCGGCCACCUGGACCAGCACUGACGCUGAGGCACGAAAGCGUGGGGAGCAAAC
rnacentral:rRNA from 1 species